GUUUGAUCAUGGCUCAGGAUGAACGCUGGCGGCGUGCCUGAUGCAUGCAAGUCGAACGCCCCGAUUUUUCGCAAGAUUGAUCGGGGAGUGGCGAACGGCUGAGUAACGCGUAAGUAACCUACCCUUAAGUGGGGGAUAACUUGCCGAAAGGCAGGCUAAUACCGCAUAUUCUGGUAAGCGUCAGCUUAUCAGCAAAGCUUUUGCGCUUGAGGAGGGGCUUGCGUCUGAUUAGAUAGUUGGUAGGGUAAUGGCCUACCAAGUCGAUGAUCAGUAGCUGGUCUGAGAGGACAACCAGCCAGACGGGGACUGAGAUACGGCCCUGACUCCUACGGGAGGCAGCAGCAAGGAAUUUUGCGCAAUGGGCGAAAGCCUGACGCAGCGACGCCGCGUGGGGGAUGACGGCCUUCGGGUUGUAAACCCCUUUUCACGAGGAAGAAAUAUGACGGUACUCGUGGAAUAAGUCUUGGCUAACUACGUGCCAGCAGCCGCGGUAAUACGUAGAAGGCGAACGUUAUCCGGAUUUACUGGGCGUAAAGAGGGUGUAGACUGUUCUUUAAGUCAGUUGUGAAAUCUCCCGACUCAAUUGGGAGACUGCAGUUGAUACUGGGGAGCUUGAGGGCAUCAGAAGAAAGCGGAAUUCACGGUGUAGCGGUGAAAUGCGUAGAUAUCGUGAGGAACACCAGUGGCGAAGGCGGCUUUCUAGGAUGCUCCUGACGUUGAGGCCCGAAAGUGUGGGGAGCGAAACGGAUUAGAUACCCGUGUAGUCCACACCCUAAACGUUGAAUACUAGGUAUAGGGGGUAUCGACCCUCUCUGUGCCGAAGCUAACGCUUUAAGUAUUCCGCCUGGGGACUACGGCCACAAGGCUAAAACUCAAAUGA
rnacentral:rRNA from 1 species